rnacentral:rRNA from 1 species
AGAGUUUGAUCCUGGCUCAGAACGUACGCUGGCGGCACGCCUAAUACAUGCAAGUCGAACGAAGUAGCAAUACUUAGUGGCAGACGGGUGAGUAACAUGUGGGUAUCUUCCCUUUGGUGAGGAAUAACACGAGGAAACUUGUGCUAAUACCUCAUAAGUCUUUACGGAGAAAGCUUUAUGCGCCAUUGGAUGAGCCCGCACUUGAUUAGUUUGUUGGUGGGGUAAUGGCCUACCAAGACAAUGAUCAAUAGCUGAUUUGAGAGGAUGAUCAGCCACAUUGGGACUGAGACACGGCCCAAACUCCUACGGGAGGCAGCAGUAGGGAAUCUUGCACAAUGGAGGAAACUCUGAUGCAGCGAUGCCGCGUGAGUGAAGAAGGCCUUUGGGUUGUAAAGCUCUUUCGUCGGGGAAGAAAAUGACUGUACCCGAAUAAGAAGGUCCGGCUAACUUCGUGCCAGCAGCCGCGGUAAUACGAAGGGACCUAGCGUAGUUCGGAAUUACUGGGCUUAAAGAGUUCGUAGGUGGUUAAAAAAGUUGGUGGUGAAAUCCCAGAGCUUAACUCUGGAACUGCCAUCAAAACUUUUUAGCUAGAGUAUGAUAGAGGAAAGCAGAAUUUCUAGUGUAGAGGUGAAAUUCGUAGAUAUUAGAAAGAAUACCAAUUGCGAAGGCAGCUUUCUGGAUCAUUACUGACACUGAGGAACGAAAGCAUGGGUAGCGAAGAGGAUUAGAUACCCUCGUAGUCCAUGCCGUAAACGAUGUGUGUUAGACGUUGGAAAUUUAUUUUCAGUGUCGCCGUGAAAACAAUAAACACACCGCCUGGGGAGUACGACCGCAAGGUUAAAACUCAAAUGAAUUGACGGGGACCCGCACAAGUAGUGGAGCAUGUGGUUUAAUUCGAAGAUACGCGCAGAACCUUACCAACACUUGACAUGUUCGUCGCGACUCUAAGAGAUUAGAGUUUUCGGUUCGGCCGGACGAAACACAGGUGCUGCAUGGCUGUCGUCAGCUCGUGUCGUGAGAUGUUGGGUUAAGUCCCGCAACGAGCGCAACCCUUACUUUUAGUUGCUACCAUUUAGUUGGGCACUCUAAAAGAACUGCCGGUGAUAAGCUGGAGGAAGGUGGGGAUGACGUCAAGUCCUCAUGGCCCUUAUGUGUUGGGCUACACACGUGCUACAAUGGUAUUUACAGAGGGAAGCUAAGAGGCAACUCCAAGCUAAUCCCAAAAAGAUACCUCAGUUCGGAUUGUACUCUGCAACUCGAGUACAUGAAGCUGGAAUUACUAGUAAUCGCGGAUCAGCGCGCCGCGGUGAAUACGUUCCCGGGUCUUGUACACACCGCCCGUCACACCAUGGAAGUUGGUUACACCUUAAGGCAAAGUGUAAAACCUUUGACUACGGUACGAUCAGCGACUGGGGUGAAGUCGUAACAAGGUAACC